AGUUAGCGCUGGUUGCCUGGUAGUUCGCCUCAACGACACGCAGCACAUCGUCGGUAACGUUUACGGCAGCAUUCACAUACAGCACACCGUCACCAACGAUCAGGUCGUAGCCUUGCGCCUGGGCAAAUUCCUGUACUUCCUUGAGCAUCGCACGCUGCAGGAGACCAUAUUCCUCGUUUUGACGGAGGUUAAGGUCUUCCUGGAACUCGGUUUGCAGACGCGUCAGUUCACGCUGCAGAUCGCGCAGUUCCUUUUCCAUGUUACGGCGUUCGGUCUCGCCCAUUACGGCCAGAUCUUUCUGCGCCUUGGCAGCCUGAUCUUCGUACUCUUUCUGCUUCGCCUGGAACUCACGCUGGCGUGGCGCAAACUCUUCCUGCAACGCAUCCAUAGCGGCCUUGGUCU
rnacentral:rRNA from 1 species